rnacentral:rRNA from 1 species
UACGUAGGGGGCAAGCGUUGUCCGGAUUUAUUGGGCGUAAAGAGCUCGUAGGUGGUUCGGUAAGUCGGAUGUGAAAUCUCCAGGCUCAACCUGGAGGGGUCAUUCGAUACUGCCGUGACUAGAGUUCGGUAGGGGAGUGUGGAAUUCCUGGUGGAGCGGUAAAAUGCGCAGAUAUCAGGAGGAACACCCGUAGCGAAGGCGGC